GUGGGGAAUAUUGGACAAUGGGCGCAAGCCUGAUCCAGCCAUGCCGCGUGAGUGAUGAAGGCCUUAGGGUUGUAAAGCUCUUUUGUCCGGGAAGAUAAUGACUGUACCGGAAGAAUAAGCCCCGGCUAACUUCGUGCCAGCAGCCGCGGUAAUACGAAGGGGGCUAGCGUUGUUCGGAAUCACUGGGCGUAAAGCGCACGUAGGCGGACCAUUAAGUCAGGGGUGAAAGCCUGGAGCUCAACUCCAGAACUGCCUUUGAUACUGAUGGUCUCGAGUAUGGAAGAGGUUGGUGGAACUGCGAGUGUAGAGGUGAAAUUCGUAGAUAUUCGCAAGAACACCGGUGGCGAAGGCGGCCAACUGGUCCAUUACUGACGCUGAGGUGCGAAAGCGUGGGGAGCAAACAGGAUUAGAUACCCGAGUAGUCC
rnacentral:rRNA from 1 species